rnacentral:rRNA from 1 species
CCCAGACAGCCAGGAUGUUGGCUUAGAAGCAGCCAUCAUUUAAAGAAAGCGUAAUAGCUCACUGGUCGAGUCGGCCUGCGCGGAAGAUGUAACGGGGCUAAACCAUGCACCGAAGCUGCGGCAGCGAACGUAUCACUUAAAGCGAUUCAGCGGGUUACGAUUGACGGAGCGAAGCGACGUCAAAGCGUAUACAAAGUCGAGUCGGUUUAAGGAUACGUUCGUUGGGUAGGGGAGCGUUCUGUAAGCCUGUGAAGGUGGCCUGUGAGGGUUGCUGGAGGUAUCAGAAGUGCGAAUGCUGACAUAAGUAACGAUAAAGCGGGUGAAAAGCCCGCUCGCCGGAAGACCAAGGGUUCCUGUCCAACGUUAAUCGGGGCAGGGUGAGUCGACCCCUAAGGCGAGGCCGAAAGGCGUAGUCGAUGGGAAACGGGUUAAUAUUCCCGUACUUGGUGUUACUGCGAAGGGGGGACGGAGAAGGCUAUGUUGGCCGGGCGACGGUUGUCCCGGUUUAAGCGUGUAGGUGUGUGUUCCAGGUAAAUCCGGUUCACUUUAACACUGAGGCGUGAUGACGAGGCACUACGGUGCUGAAGCAACAAAUGCCCUGCUUCCAGGAAAAGCCUCUAAGCAUCAGGUAACAUCAAAUCGUACCCCAAACCGACACAGGUGGUCAGGUAGAGAAUAC